UACGGAGGGUGCAAGCGUUACUCGGAAUUACUGGGCGUAAAGCGCACGCAGGUGGCUGAGAAAGUCGAUUGUGAAAGCCCUGGGCUUAACCUGGGAAUUGCAGUCGAAACUACUCGGCUAGAGUAUGGGAGAGGACAGUGGAAUUCCCGGUGUAGCGGUGAAAUGCGUAGAGAUCGGGAAGAACAUCGGUGGCGAAAGCGCUCUACUGGACGGUAUCUGACACUGAGGGACGAAAGCUAGGGGAGCGAAUGGG
rnacentral:rRNA from 1 species